rnacentral:lncRNA from 11 species
AUCUCUGUGAUAUUGAGAGAGAACUGUUACUCCCAUUUCAUUUUCAGGAUACGCAUGCCUCUUACACAGGGAAAAUGACAUCUGUGACAAGAUUACAUGACACUGAUGAAUGUGCUUUUUGUCCAGGCAAAUAAUAUGUGUGAAACUGGACUGCAAGCAUGUGUCAAUGAGAUUACACAACCAAAUGAAGAAUAACCAUUGGCAAGCACCAUUUUGGAUUUGGUCUGUCAACCAACUGCAAAUCCACCUAACUGGAGUGCUCCCUAGCCUAAAGGUCAUCAGCUUGCCUGCAAGAAUAUCAUGGAUUCCAUUCUGUCUUGAUGUACUGCAGCGCAUUAAUUUUGUGCUAGAAAGACAUUUGAUAUUUCAUGGUAUUUAUGGUACUUUUAGAGAGUAAGGCAGAGAAGUAUCUGGCUAUGUCUUUACAGUUGACACAUAAUUUCCUCCAGGACAUUUGGAGCACCCUUGGUAGAUCUAAGAUGAUGCCUUCAUUACCAUGCACCUGGAUACAGUAAUAUAGCCAGAUGUUUCUUGGCUGUCCAUCACUACAUGACUGUGUUGGGAGGCCCUCACACCACAAUACAUUGCUGACUUACAAAUAAGACCAGUCUUAACAAGAGAAAGAUAAGAUAUAUGCUUUUCUCCUGUGAUAUUCAGUACGUGCAUGUAUUAUUCUAUAUUUACAUGGUGGAAAUAAGUACCUGACUUGAAGAUGCUGUGGAUGCACACCAAGCAGCAAAGAAAUCAAUACAACAGACCUGAUUAUGAGCUACUCAGAGCUGGAGAAUAAUCCUUUACAUUUUAAAGGUAUGCCAUAUCCUCCCCAAGCAGAGUACAUCAGUCAAUCAACGUAUGUCUUUAUCAGAACAUGCAUUAAAAUGCUUGUACAGCUUUCCUGUUCAAAGAGGGAAGAGCGCACAAAAGAAUCUAACAGAUCUGGUGCCAGGAAGAGUGCUUCUCAAACUCUAUAAAACUAGAAAAAGCAAAAGAGGAUUGUUAACAUCCUAUCGUGCUGCUGUACAUCUGACCUGUGUGUGACAUCAGUUUUGAGAAAUACACUGACAAAUACCCCUGGUUAUUAGACAAUUGUUCUAGGUGAAUUUUAAAGAGAUUGAUUUCACACCUCACAGAAUCAUAAAAUGGUACAAUAAAGAGAUGCAGGCUGAUCUUAUCUCUGAGGGAUAUCUCAUCAUGACCAAUAAAAACUGUGACACAAGGAAGCCUGACUUUGCUGUUAUGGUUAUGGUUUUAGAGACCGAGAUCUGAAAAUAAUCUAAAUAAUUAAUGCAUUACCUGGCAUUACGUAUCCUCAUAUUUUCAAGAAGAUUUUAAUGAGCAAUUUGGAAUCUCAACACCUUUGAUUAUUAAGCUAGUGGCCCAGUAAUUAGAUGUACUAGAUAGGAAAGGACAUUUUAUAUUUUCUCUUUCUCUGCCCGUUGCCACACUCUGAUCAUAGACAAGGGCUUUUUUUACAUUCAGAUUCUUAUGUGAACCUUAGCCUCCAUAAAUCACAGUGCCCAUUUAUAUUAGGCUAGUAAUAUAAUUUGUAUUUAUAGGAACUGGUGCCUACUGCUAUGUGGGACCACAGCAAAAACCUAUAGAUGAUGCAGGAGAUACAGAAUCAGUUCCUGGCAUUGUUUUUCAAAAUCAAAAGCAGCCCAAGGUGUGGUGUUUAACUGGGUUAUCCUAAAGGUGUCAUGGUUUGCAAAGAUACUUCAUGUGUGUUAACUGGAAAAUCAAAUGCAUGAAACUGAUUGGCUGAGUUUGCAAGGACCUGGGAAUAGGUUUGUAACUGUUGCUGUCCUGCUGCUGGAGAACCAGUUCGAGCAGGUUUUUCUCUGUGCAUGUGUGUGAGUCUACUGAGUACUGGCUGGAAAGAAGAUGGCUCUGUAUUCAGAGAGGCCUGACUAUUUCUGAGGACUUGUUCACUGCUGACCUUCACUGAAGAUUUAUGGACUAAGAAAGGACUGCUUAUGACUGCUGAUUUCUGUAGCAAUCAGAGGGACUAUUGUAAAUACCAUUGUUCCGUUCAUCUCUUGGACUUAGUAAAGGUUCC